rnacentral:rRNA from 1 species
CCCUUAGAUGUUCUGGGCCGCACGCGUGCUACACUGAGUGGAUCAGCGGGUCAGGUUGCGCGAAAGCGUUUCCUAAUCUUUAAAUCCGCUCGUGAUGGGGAUUGACGGUUGCAAUUUUCUGUCAUGAACGAGGAAUACCUUGUAAGCGCGGGUCAUCAUCCCGCGCUGAAUACGUCCCUGCCCUUUGUACACACCGCCCGUCGCUCCUACCGAUUGAGUGGUCCGGUGAGGCUUUGGGAUCUGAGCGGAAAGAGCGUCUCGCUGUUUCUGCUCGGAAAACUCAGUCGAACCUUAUCAUUUAGAGGAAGGAGGAGUCGUAACA